GCCGGGAUGGUGGAACGGCAUACACGGAAGUCUCAAACACUUCUGCCCGAAAGGGCUUGCGGGUUCGAAUCCCGCUCCCGGCACCU
rnacentral:tRNA from 3 species